UACGGAGGGUGCAAGCGUUAAUCGGAAUUACUGGGCGUAAAGCGUGCGCAGGCGGUUUGUUAAGUCCGUUGUGAAAGCCCCGAGCUCAACUUGGGAAUUGCAGUGGAUACUGGCAGGCUGGAGUACGGUAGAGGAAGGUGGAAUUCCCGGUGUAGCAGUGAAAUGCGUAGAUAUCUGGAAGAACACCAAAGGCGAAGGCAGUGUCCUGGGUGGUCGCUGACGCUGAGAGGCGAAAGCCAGGGGAGCGAACGGG
rnacentral:rRNA from 1 species